UGCCCCAUGGCUGAGUUGGUUACAGCGUCCGACUGUUAGCUAGCCUGAUUAUCGGAAGGUCGUGAGUUCGAGCCUCACUGGGGCAG